UACGUAGGGGGCAAUCGUUGUCCGGAUUUAUUGGGCGUAAAGAGCGUGUAGGCGGUUAGGUAGGUCCGUUGUGAAAACUCGAGGCUCAACCUCGAGACGCCGAUGGAAACCAUCUGACUAGAGUCCGGAAGAGGAGAGUGGAAUUCCUGGUGUAGCGGUGAAAUGCGCAGAUAUCAGGAAGAACACCCGUGGCUAAGGCGGCUCUCUAGUACGUGACUGACGCUGAGACGCGAAAGCGUGGGGAGCGAACAGG
rnacentral:rRNA from 1 species